GCCACCAGGGGACCGGAGGGGAGGGGCGCGCGGCCUGGGCUGGCCGGUGCCGGGAGGAAGGAGGCUGUCCGCGGACCUGACCACACUGUCCCGGGCCACCGCUGGGCGCUGGGGCGGCCGCUGUCUCCCACCCUCCACGGGCUUCCUUAAAAUGGAGCAUAAUUUGGGUCCACCUGGAUAGAAACAGUCAAGAAGCACUGACUCCCGAAACGCCUUCAAGAAGCUCCUCCUACCACCCAAGGUGGCUCUGCGUCCCCAGGCUGCUUCAAGAUGGCCCUGGAGUUACCCACCACCUACAGCUCUGCCUUCCUUUCCACCUUCUGGUAGAAAGCUCAUUUUUAUCUACAACCUGGGCCUCUCCACAGAAAUCCAGGCUUGUAUAUCCAAUGACGACCCAACAUCUCCACGGGAGCAUCUAACAGGCACCUCAGUGUGAAUGUGUCCAAAACCAAACCCUACGUCUCCAGCUGUUCCUGCCUCACUGUGCCUCAACUCAAGUAUUGCUCUGCCUGUAAUCCAGUUCUCCAAUCAAACACCAAAGAGUGGUUCUUGAGUCCUCGCCUUUUCUCAUGCCCACGUGCAAACCCUCAGCAAAAGCAGGCAGUUGCACCAAAUGUAACCCAAAGCCACCCAUUUCUCACUAACUUCACUGUUCUUCCUCCCACCUCCCAAGAAUUCAGGCCUUCAUUAUUUCUUACUUGGACAACUGCAGAAGCCUCCUCCCUGGACUUGCUACUUCUACUUUUGCCCCUAUGUGGAGCAACCAGAGGGAGCCUUUAAAAAAUAUACAUCUGAUAAACCCUCCAGUGGCUUCCCAUUAAAUUAAAAUUAAAUACAAAGCCCUUGGUCUGCAAGGCCCUACGUAAGCUACGUCCCACCUGACUCUCCUUGGGUAUCAUCUCCUGCCAUUCUCCCCUUCUCUUACUCCCUCUGCCACCCUGAUCGUCCGCCUGUUCCUUGAUAACGCCCACAUGACCCCACCCCAGGGCCUUUGUACUUACUGUUCCCUCAGAUAUUGCCUGGCCACUACCUUACUUUGUUCAUUUCACAGCUCAAAAGUCACCUGUUAGAGACCUUCCCUGCCUGUCCUAAUAAAAAUCGCAUCCCCCGGCAUUCUCUGUCUCCUCACCCUGCUUCAUGUUCCUCAUUGCCCUUUCCGCUAUGGUGUAUUUUAUUCAUAUGUAUAUUUCUUUUAUUGCCUGUUCCUUUCACUUGAAUGCAGUCCCCACAAGGGCAGGGAUAUUUGUCUGUUUU
rnacentral:lncRNA from 1 species